GAGAGGGGAGCAGAAGGGACCUUUCGUUGUGCCACCCUAAAUCCCUGGAGGAGCCGGAUCCUCCCGGCUCUNNNNNNNNNNNNNNNNNNNNUGGGGUGCUGGGUGGGGGGGCUGGCUGCUUGUCUGGCCCAGACAUGGGUGCUGGGGGGUUCUCCGUGGGUGCUGGGGGUGCUCUGUGGGUGCUCUGUGGGUGCCGGGGGGAUUGCAGAGCUCAGCCCCAUUGCGACACUUCCUUCUGGGUUUUUCCCUGCUCAAUUUCGGUUCCCUCAGCCUGGCGGCGUGCGGGAAGCUUUGUGUUGCAAGCCAGGGUCCCCAGCAGGUCAGAAACCCCCCAUUUUCAAUAGUGAACCCCCUUUUUCAACAGUGAGGGUGGCAGCUUUUAACCAAAAAAAAACUGCCCUGGCCACGGGCUGGGCAGGAGAGGAGGCUGCAGGGGGGGACCCAGCACCGCGCUGGGGGUUUCGGGGUGCCCAGGCGGGUGGGUGGGGGCCACAGGGCACCCCUGUCCCCCGAGGGGCUGGGGCAAACCCCGAGCCCUCCCGGGCUGUCCCCAGCUGUCCCCGUGGCCGUGCCGGCCGGCCGGGCAGCAGGGAGGAGGGUUUGCCGCUAGAGGCAGCCAGAGACCGUGGGAAGGAUGCUCGGGGCGCAGCACCUGCUCUGCAGACGGGCAGCUCGCUGCUGGUCCCCUCCUGGUUUAAUUCGAGCAAAGGUGCCCCCCACCUUCCCAUCCCUUGUCCUGGGGAGGGGGUGACACAACGGGACCGUGUCACACUUCCCCAGGAACAGCCAGAGCAGGGGAACCCCCCUGGCACCUCCAUCCCCUGCGGGGACACUCAGGGUGGCACCAUCACCAGAUGCCACCUGCAUGGCUGCUCUGCAGGGCCCUCGGGUGCUGUGCACGCACCCAGGGGUGGCUGGAUCCCCCCCCUCCUCCCCAUCCUUAUGGGCCCUGACACGUACCCAUCCCCUCUUGGCCCACCUGUAAGAUCUUGGUGUAAAGGGGACUGGGACUGGGGGUCCCCAGCGAUGCUGGAGGAGCCCUGCAAGGAGGGGGACAUCAGACUGGGGACAGCCAAGGGGCCUGAUGCCCUGCAGGAAGGGGGAACAUUAGACUGGGGACAGCCUAGAGGCAUGCCCACACUGGGUCUAGAGAGCUCCUUGGCCAAAAUAACUCUUGUUCCUGCCACGAUGCUUUCCCUGCGUCCUUCUCCUCUCAUCUCACCCUUGCCCAGCACCCUCCUUGUUAAAACUCCCACUCGAGGCUGA
rnacentral:lncRNA from 1 species